rnacentral:rRNA from 1 species
GACAGGAGGGGGCAAGCGUUGCUCGGAAUUACUGGGCGUAAAGGGCGCGUAGGCGGGAUGGCAAGUCGGUCGUGAAAUCCCUCGGCUCAACUGAGGAUCGUCGAUCGAUACUGCCGUUCUUGAGGAUUGCGAGAGGAGACUGGAAUUCCCGGAUGUAGCGGUGAAAUGUGUAGAGAGUCGGGAGGAACGACCGGUGGCGAAGGCGGGUCUCUGGGCAA